rnacentral:pre_miRNA from 1 species
CUCGUACUUCCUCCGUUCGGAAUUACUUGUCGUAGAAAUGGAUGUAUCUAGAUGUAUUUUAGUUCUAAAUACAUCUAUUUCCGAGACAAGUAAUUCCGAACGGAGGGAGUAUAUG